CGCGCGGGCGGGGCUGGAGGCGGAGAAGCGGAAGCCAUGGCAACCAGCGCUCUGUCAGCCAGACUUGGUUUCUGCUGCCUGUUACCAAGAGUUCUGCCCCGCUGACUCCAUUACCCUGCUGCCCGUGUGACUCGGCCUCCUCUCUCCCCUGGACCGAAUCCAGUUACCUGCGCCAUCUCUGCCGUCUCCCGGGGCCUGCAUCAGCCGGAAGCUGGAGGCAGGAGUCGGAGCUGAAUAUUGAACUUGGUACCCGGAGGGACCGAUUCGAGGAGGUGUGCUCUCUGCCAAGAGCCUUCAAGAUACCGGAGGAAGGUGAUGAAAGACUGCGGAGGGAGACUUUGGAGGAGGCCGUGAAGAGUGUGUGUAACAGAAGAGCCUUGUUUCCGUGGGGCUGGGGAAGGCGCGACACAAGGAACAGUGCAAAGCACAGGUGAACGCAGGCACUGCUACAAGCCAGGGCAAAGAAAAGGCAGUCGGGCUGGAGCUGCAAGCGAUGCUGUUGACUGUGUCAGGGGGAAAUCCCCGGUGGAGGACACGAAACGUGGUCUGGGGUUGGAGAAAUGGAAAGUGGCUGGUGGGCGCCUGGGGGUCACUGGCUGGUGGAAAGAAAUGGCACAAACCAAGUUGGGCGCCCACAGCAGGAGUGACUGGGCAGACCCAACUUGGCGGGGGGAGA